CCUGGUGGCUGACCCUGUGGGCUCUGACUGUUGGGCCUAGCUCCUCUGAGGUGGCCAGUAUACCAUGCUGCCAUCUAGUGUACGUUCAUGAACUUCCUGGCUCGGGUGAGGGAUGCAGAUUGAAUCCAGACACCGGAAGUCCGGAGGAGGAGGCUUCUUCAGGGCUACAUGGAGGGACCACUGCGAGCUCGCUUCCACUUCAAGAUUGACACGAUGCCGCGGCAAUGUAUCCCUGAAUGUCUCUUCAGAACGCGGGGCCCAACAAUGAAAACACGCUCUUGAUAAGGCGUGUAAUGGGCAGAAUUAUGCUAAUCGAGGAAAACCUUACAGGGAGUCUUUUGAGGUGUUGCUUCUAACGCUGAAACACAUUGGAAUUCAACAGAUGAGUGACUGGUAACUUGCCAUCCGUGACUUUCAGUGCCUAAAAUGAAUGAUGGAUGGUCCUAGGAACCCCCUUGUCCCUUUGACUGACAUCAUAAUGAGCAGGGAAAGACGCCAGGAAGAACAAACUCUAAGAGCAUGAGGCCAGGGCGAGAAGAAAAUAGAUGAGUUUGGUUAAAUGGGCAAAUUCCGCAACUGGAUGUCUGAGUUUGAGCCUGUG
rnacentral:lncRNA from 1 species